GAUGAACGCUGGCGGCGUGCCUAAUACAUGCAAGUCGAGCGAACGGACGAGAAGCUUGCUUCUCUGAUGUUAGCGGCGGACGGGUGAGUAACACGUGGAUAACCUACCUAUAAGACUGGGAUAACUUCGGGAAACCGGAGCUAAUACCGGAUGAUAUUUUGAACCGCAUGGUUCAAAAGUGAAAGACGGUCUUGCUGUCACUUAUAGAUGGAUCCGCGCUGCAUUAGCUAGUUGGUAAGGUAACGGCUUACCAAGGCAACGAUGCAUAGCCGACCUGAGAGGGUGAUCGGCCACACUGGAACUGAGACACGGUCCAGACUCCUACGGGAGGCAGCAGUAGGGAAUCUUCCGCAAUGGGCGAAAGCCUGACGGAGCAACGCCGCGUGAGUGAUGAAGGUCUUCGGAUCGUAAAACUCUUUUAUUAGGGAAGAACAUAUGUGUAAGUACCUGUGCACAUCUUGACGGUACCUAAUCAGAAAGCCACGGCUAACUCCGUG
rnacentral:rRNA from 1 species